ensembl:snRNA U4 U4 spliceosomal RNA
AGCUUUGCGCAGCGGCAGCAUCGUAGCCAGUGAGGUUUAUCCAAGGCGCGAUUAUUGCCAGUUGAUUCUAUGAUUCCAUAAGGUUUUCUUAGUUCUAUUCUGAAAAUGCUACCUGGGUAUUCUUUUAUCUUUAAGUACUUAA